GCCAAAGUUGGAAGUGUAAAUGAGGCUCAUAAGCAGUUCUCUCCACUAGAAGUGGAACUGGAGAACAAAAGCAGCUGCUGUGAUGAACUGGAGGCCACAUGUCUUGACUUGCAAUUGCAGCUGGAAAGUAUGAAGAAGGAUGAGAGUCUGAAAAAUGAUGUCAUUCAGGAAGGAAAGCAGCUACGAACUAACUGGGAGAUCGCAGCUGCUUCUGAAAGAUUAGCAGAGUGCCAAGAAACCAUUUUGAACUUGGGCAAGCAGUUGAAAGCUUUGGCUC